ACCGCUCGCCAGGGGUCUCCGGACGGCCGUUCGCCGAAUGGAGUGAGAGAUACCCUUCGAACCUGAUGCGGAAGAGCCUGCUGAAAGAGGCUCCAGACCGCCGUAGGGAGGCCGAGUCAGGCCUCCA
rnacentral:ncRNA from 1 species